rnacentral:lncRNA from 1 species
CUGUGCAUCUAGAGGCAACCUGAACAAUCAUUCAUAAUAGAACAUACAUAUCUUUCUGUAGAUGUUUGGGUUAGCUAUUUUUCUGGAAGAUGCUUACAGAAAGAGAAAAGAAGAGAAAAGAAGGAAAGAAGAAAGGAGAAAGGGGAAAGGGGAACAGGGAGGGAAAAAAAAAAAAAAUUGAAAAAAAAAAAAAAGAGAGAGAAAACAAAACAAAACCUUAAGUCACCAUAACAAACUGUUAGGUAAAUCUUAUUUCAAAUUGAUCCAAUGAAGGGAUGGAUUGUAUUUUUGCUUGGGCUUGUGGAUAGUUUUCACUUCAGAAUAAAAGUCAGGAUUCAGUUAUCUUACACAUAAGCAUCUAAUUUCAUGUUUCUAAUGUUUCCUUCUUUGGCCUCCAGUCCUGCUGCAGAAGAUAAAUAUAUAUUUUUUUAAUUCCUGCUACAGAAGAUCCUGGAUCUCCCAUAGGUGCUGCAUCUAAUCAACAUGACAGUUCUGCAUGGGCAUCUUGGUUGUUCACUGCCUGCUAACUAGUACUGGAGCUUACAUGAAGGAUUUUAUAUUGGAAAUUGAAAAUAAGAAUGACAAGGGAAUGGUGGGAAUGAUGAAUGUAUCAGAAUGUCAGCCCACAAGGUUAGUCAAUGACAUUUAACAAAGAGAAACUCACCUCAGAAUAUUCAACAGCACAGGUGUGACAGAGGACACACAAUUUCCAAUCCAUUUUCUACCUGAGACAGUCUUCCAAUUUCAAGGCAAUGGCUGUAAUUGCUGAAUUUCUGACUUGGUUUAAGAGCAGCUAUAUUUUGCCAAAUCUAUGACUAGUAGUUAAAUUUAU